rnacentral:rRNA from 1 species
AGAACGAACGCUGGCGGCAUGCCUAAUACAUGCAAGUCGAACGAACUCUUCGGAGUUAGUGGCGCACGGGUGCGUAACGCGUGGGAAUCUGCCCCUUGGUUCGGAAUAACAGUUGGAAACGACUGCUAAUACCGGAUGAUGACGAAAGUCCAAAGAUUUAUCGCCAAGGGAUGAGCCCGCGUAGGAUUAGCUAGUUGGUGAGGUAAAGGCUCACCAAGGCAACGAUCCUUAGCUGGUCUGAGAGGAUGAUCAGCCACACUGGGACUGAGACACGGCCCAGACUCCUACGGGAGGCAGCAGUAGGGAAUAUUGGACAAUGGGCGAAAGCCUGAUCCAGCAAUGCCGCGUGAGUGAUGAAGGCCUUAGGUUGUAAAGCUCUUUUACCGAGAUGAUAAUGACAGUAGUCGGAGAAGUAACGCCCGGACUAACGUCCCGUGCCAGCAGCCGC